rnacentral:rRNA from 1 species
UACGUAGGGUGCAAGCGUUGUCCGGAAUUAUUGGGCGUAAAGAGCUCGUAGGCGGUCUGUCGCGUCGGCUGUGAAAACCCGGAGCUCAACUCCGGGCCUGCAGUCGAUACGGGCAAACUGGAGUGUUGCAGGGGAGACUGGAAUUCCUGGUGUAGCGGUGAAAUGCGCAGAUAUCAGGAAGAACACCGAUGGCGAAGGCAGCUCUCUGGGACGGUACUGACGCUGAGACGCGAAAGCGUGGGGAGCAAACAGG